GUUACCUACGGGACGCAGCAGUGGGGAAUAUUGCACAAUGGGGGAAACCCUGAUGCAGCGACGCCGCGUGAGUGAAGAAGUAUUUCGGUAUGUAAAGCUCUAUCAGCAGGGAAGAAGAAGGACGGUACCUGAGGAAUAAGCCACGGCUAACUACGUGCCAGCAGCCGCGGUAAUACGUAGGUGGCAAGCGUUAUCCGGAUUUAUUGGGUGUAAAGGGCGUGUAGGCGGGAGCGCAAGUCCGAUGUGAAAACUCAGGGCUCAACCCUGAGCCUGCAUUUGAAACUGUGUUUCUUUAGUGCUGGAGG
rnacentral:rRNA from 1 species